rnacentral:rRNA from 1 species
CCCUAGUAACGGCGAGUGAAGCGGGAACAGCUCAAGACGGUAAUCCUUGCUAUCACUAGCAAGGAGUUGUAGUCUAUGGACGUUGCUACUGCGGUGUGUGUUGCGGCCCAAGUCCCUUGGAACAGGGCGCCAGAGAGGGUGACAGCCCCGUCCGGCCGCAGCGACGCCAGUAUGUGCGGCAGUCCGAGAGUCGGGUUGUUUGGGAAUGCAGCCCUAAGCGGGAGGUACACACCUUCCAAAGCUAAAUAUUCAGGCAAGAGACCGAUAGCGAACAAGUACCGUGAGGGAAAGUUGAAAAGCACUCUGGAGAGAGAGUGAAAAGUACGUGAAACCACUGGUAGGGAACCGCUUGCACGGGACAGUGAGCGGCAGGUCGAUUUAUCGGCUUGUCGCCGCCCAGCACGAGUUUGCGCUGCCAGAGAAGCGCUCGGCAAAGGUAGCACCCUCCGGGGUGUGUUAUAGGGCCGGGCGCGCACUGGUGGCGUGGACUGAGGACAGCGGCACCCCCUUUAUUGGGGCGUCGGCGACAACGGCGAGGCCCUGUUGGGCACGCGGGCAAGACAGCAUGCUGACUUGUUUGCGUGGCUGGCAGGCUACCUUGUCUCGCACGGCGUAGUUGCCAUGGGUGGCUG